rnacentral:lncRNA from 1 species
GGAGUUUUAAUCCCACCGUUCAUAGAAGACGACCACUCUCCUUUACCCGGUUGGAUGGUGGAGUCUCUCAAAGCCGUCAAGUACGUAGACACAGAACACUUCUCAAUCCCGCAAGGUCGCCGAGCCAUUGAGCUAGUGGCUGGCAAAGAGAGCGCCAUCGCUCAAGUUGCUAGGACCAUCAUCGGGAAGACUUACGUCCUUUCGUUUGCCGUUGGAGACGCCAACAACGCUUGCAAAGGAUCGAUGGUGGUUGAGGCUUUUGCGGGAAGAGACACGCUUAAGGUACCUUACGAGUCGCGUGGCACUGGAGGGUUUAAACGAGCUUCUAUCAGGUUCGUGGCGGUUUCGACAAGAACUAGAGUUAUGUUUUACAGCACUUUCUAUGCCAUGAGGAGCGAUGAUUUCUCCUCUUUGUGUGGACCUGUGAUUGACGAUGUCAAGCUUUUAAGCGUUCGUAAGCGGUAGAUGAAUGGAAUCUUACUACAAGAAAUGAAACUGUGCGGGUUUUACUUUGAUAAUAUAUCGUCUUUUUGGUGUGUUCUUGAUUUUAUUCGAAAGAGAUGUAAAAGGUGACCGUUUAUUUAGGUUAUAUUGUAUUUUCUUGCGUGAGAAGGCACAUGAAGGUUGCCAUUUAUAGCUACAAACUUGCAAGAAUAAAAGUCAGCAACAUCAAGUUGAUUGCGUUACUCUUAGAGCUAUCUUUAUCCAAGGAUACUAGAGGGUUUCUUAGCGUGUAGAUCUCGCGUAUGACCCACUUUUUUUUUAAAGAAACCAGUUAUCAAAACUACUAAAUAGUAGUCGGUCCUUAAGGUUUCUUACACUGUUCGUGAACCCCCACUGACACGUGGCGGCCAGUGAUUGGUUCGUUUUUAAAUUUUUUUUUUCUAAAUUCGAAAAAGUAAAAAAAAAAAAAAAUUGUGUAUGGACUGCAAUUUUUCUUAUCCUUCUUUCGAUAUUUAACGCGUGCACAAUCAUCUCAAGGUUUACAAGAAUCGCUGGAGAACUCUUUGGCAUGUUGAUUGCUGUUCUCUUCUUACAAGAAGCUAUCAAGGUACCAAUUCCAUUGUCAUAAAAUUUACAAAUAACAUGUUUUAGUUAUAUACAUAUAUAUAUAUAUGCAGGGUUUGGUUAGUGAGUUUCAAGCUUCCAAGAGUGAACAUCAUGAUAAAUCAGGAGAGUCAGAUUUCCUCUGGCUAUAUACAAAUGGGUUGCUUGCGGUAAUUUUCUCGUUAGGUCUGUUAAUCACAGCGUUAAAGAGCAGAAGAGCAAAGUCUUGGAAGUACGGUUUUGGUACGUUAUUGUCUAUUCACAUUAGUUACUUGAAGGUGUGUGAAUAGAUAUUCAUUUUAGACCACUAAAAACCAACAGGGUGGCUUAGGAGUUUCAUUGGAGAUUAUGGUGUUCCCUUAAUGGUUUUGUUCUGGACUGCAUUGUCUUACACGGUUCCUAGCAAAGUCCCUGAGAAUGUUCCUCGGAGACUGUUCUGUCCUCUUCCAUGGGAGACAGCUUCAUUGCAUCAUUGGACUGUAAUCAAGGUAAUUAAGAUGCUAAUAUGAUUAAUCAAAAUUUACUUAUAGAAUUAAGCAAAGGCUUAUCAUUGUUUUAUGUACAGGACAUGGGGAAGGUACCAGUAAUGUAUAUAUUUGCUGGGAUUAUACCUGCUGUGAUGAUAGCUGGACUUUACUUCUUCGACCAUAGUGUAGCUUCACAAAUGGCACAGCAGAAAGAGUUUAAUUUAAAGAAUCCUUCUGCUUACCACUACGACAUCUUCUUGCUUGGAAUCAUGGUGUGUUUCUCUCGUUUUUUAAAAGUGAUUUCAAAAGAUAAUUAGGUUUUCAUGGUAUAACCAAAAAGUUGUUAUGGUGAUUAUUUUUAUAUAGACUUUGAUAUGUGGACUACUUGGCCUUCCUCCUUCAAAUGGUGUUAUCCCUCAGGCUCCAAUGCACACAAAGAGUCUUGCCAUUCUCAAUCGUCAGGUAAAGAUCAAAUACAUGGAUCAUAGUUUCUUACAACUUCAAAGACUGUUGGGUAAGCUUCAAUAGCUUGCAGCCCAAAAUAUUCUUAACAAGUCGGUUAAGUAUAAAGAUAGGCUUAGAAGAAAUUAUCUAUCUGUACUAAGAACAGCAAAAAAAAAAUAAAAAUCUAUUAGCAAUAGCAAUAGGAUUAUCAAAAGAGGUGUUAAUAUUCCUUUAAAUAUUAAAGUUGAGUUGUGACUUUGAUUUGAAUAACGAAAAGAGCUUUUCAGUGUUUAGUUUUUAGAUAGUUUCUAAACAUUAAUAAAGAAAGUCGUCUUUAUUUAAAAGCUAAGUGUGUUCUAAAUUCUUUAAUUGGUAUCAUGGUUUGUUUCUUGUUUUGUAGCUGACACGCAAGAAGAUGGUGAAGAGUGCAAAAGAGGGUAUGAAGAUGAAAGCCAGCAAAUCAGAGAUAUAUGGGAGAAUGCAAACAGUAUUUAUAGAGAUGGAGACAUCUUCACCUCAGGUUUGUUCAGUAGCUAAUGAUUUAAAAGACUUGAAAGAAGUUGUGAUGAGACCAGAUGAAGGAGGAGAUACAAAAGGAAAGUUUGAUCCAGACGUGCAUAUUGAAGCUAACUUGCCAGUUAGAGUAAACGAGCAAAGAGUGAGCAACUUGUUACAAUCAGUACUAGUUGGUUUAACACUUCUUGCUGUGCCAGUCAUCAAAAUGAUCCCAAGCUCCGUUCUCUGGGGCUACUUUGCUUAUAUGGCUAUAGACAGUCUCCCUGGAAACCAAUUCUGGGAGAGACUGUUGCUUCUCUUCAUCCCUCAAAGCAGACUCUUCAAGUUAGUUAAAAGCUUUUGUUUCUUUUUCUUUAGAGAGAGAGAGGUUUCUCAAUCACUGGUUUGGUUUCAUCUUAAUGCAGAGUCUUGGAAGGAGUACACGCUUCAUUUGUGGAGUUAGUACCAUACAAAGUGAUUGUGAUGUUCACACUUUUUCAACUGGUUUACUUUCUCUUGUGCUAUGGCAUGACAUGGGUUCCUGUGGCUGGCAUAUUUUUCCCGGCGCUGUUCUUCCUACUCAUAAGUAUAAGAGAACACUUGCUCCCCAAGUUAUUUGAUCCGCAACACCUUCAAGUUCUUGAUGCUGCUGACUAUGAAGAGAUAGUAGCUGCACCUAUACAACACUCAAGUUUUGCUUACCGGGUAAAGCUCUUCUGUUUUUUUUUUUUUUGGGUAUUUUCUGGUAGGGAUUAUGUUAACAAGUGUGUGAUACCUUUUAAACUAUUACUGUGAGCAGAAACUGGGAUCUUCUCGUCAUUUAUCAGAAGGAGAAGAGGAAGAUGAGUUUCAUGAUGCAGAGAUAUUGGACGAGAUGACUACUAGUAGAGGGGAGAUCAGAAUCCGAACUAUAAGUUUGAAGGAGGUAAUAAUCAAAAUCGUUUAUAUAUGUUCCUCAUAAGUUUCCUAAUUUUGUUAACCUGAUGCAAGAAAAUGUUUUCUGUUUCAGCCGCGCCUUGAGUCUGAAGAAAGGCGUGUAACCUUUGAACCUCAUUGAAACAUACAAUCCUUUGGAGUUGUUAUAUUUUUUUGUAUACAAAUGUAUCUGCGUCAUACUUUUUUAUGGUGAAAAUAUGUUUUCAGCAAUUAUAAAAAAAACCUUUAGUUUGUCCUCAAAUCUUGGCUAUUACAUUCAAACUAUAAAGGCAACUUAACAAAACAGAUCCUAAUCUCUUGCGCUGUUUAAUUACUCUUUUGGCUUCAAAAUACAACACAAAUUGCUUUGUAUGGUUAUGCACGGUUCAUCUGAACACUGUACUUAUGUUUAAGAUUGUAUGAUACUGAUGCUUAGUGUAAGCUUGCUUGAACAAUGGAUUAUGUUUAGACUAAAAAAGGAUACAUGUUAUGUUUAGAAUUUAGACAGUUCCUCAAAGAUGCCACUUUAAAACAUUUUUUACAUGAAUCAUAUGCAGCGAUGCUUUGCACGGGUCAUGGUGAAUAAGUAUGAGGUAGAUGAGGAUAAGAUAAGGUAUUAUAUUUAAUAGACUUGUCAGUAGAAAACGAUAUGAACUUUUAUUUGAAGACAUUUCCAUGUGAGUCACAUUAGUACAGGAGGGUCGGACAUGAAUAAUUAAUGGAUUAAUUAACAAACAAACAAAAGAAGAGACAAUUCUGAAUUCAAUGUGAGUAACUUCGUUCUAUUAUUUUCUCUCAACUGGCAACUAUUAUUAUUGCUCAUUAUUUAGACAGUUUUUGCUGUAGUUCUGUGCAUACUGAAAGAAGCUUUUGGAAAACCUUUUUCAUUUGCAUGAUCAAAAGCUCAAAUGGUUUUGUAUCCUCGCUUUAUCAAAAAGCAAAUCUUAAGACGACAAGUGACUUUGUAUGAACAUCUCAGGCGGUUUUGAGCUAAUGUGGUGCCUUUAAGUUCGAAUUUAGACCAACUGCCGACUGAGAUAACCACUAAUUCCAAGAUUGGCUGUGAAAAGCUCUACUCAAAGAAAAAACAGUUUCUCAUAGAUUAAAGUUAUCAAAUGUUGCUAGCUCAACUAGAAAAAACAUUAUAGACAAACCUAAAAAAUAACAUGAUUGAGUGAGUUUGAGACGAUAUUAUACUAUUAAAAAUAAUAUAAUUAUUUCAUAAAAUAAAACAUAAAAAUGAACUAAUAAAAAAGAUUCAAGUGGCAUUAGAGUAUCUUGCAAGGUUAUUAAAAAUUCUCUUUACAUAACCGAUUCUCACUGUUUUAACCCACUUUUUCAUUUUUUUUUAAAUGCAAUAAUCAAAAAACUUAUUAUUAACAUCCCCGGUUGGAGAAGCUACAUAAUUCUUGGUUCAUUGUUCUAAUAUAGCAUUAAUCAUCAUAUGAAUAUAAUAACGGACCUCAAAUGUUUUGUCUUUACAAUAUGAUGAUUAACCUAAUAAUACCAAAAGGUUAUCUAUAGUUAGCUUGUGCGUGUAUGGAGUCCAAUGGGCCCGUAGAAGAGUAAAAGAAGUGUACAAGGAGGAGGAAACAGAUGCAUGAUCCUGCCUUUUGCACGUCUCUUGUCGCUAUCUCUUCUUUCUUUUAUACGGGGCCGACCCACUCGUUAGUUACCUACCGUCCCCACCCACGUUUCCGACGGUUUCUCGUCCCUUCAUUGUAUAUCAAACAUCGAUCAUGGUUCGUUCGAAUUUGCUCUCAGUUUCCUAAUCAAUAUUUUCUGCUGACUAGUAACUAAAAUAUCGUUAACCAUAAAAGUAACAUACAAUUUAUAUAAAUUUGUGUAGCAACUGAAAGAAGUUUAGAAUGUCAUACAGUUGAAAACUAAUUAAUACGUUGUGGUUUAUGUUUAUUUUUAUUCUGGAUAACAUAGAAAUACAUUUCUUUACUAAUAGAAUUGGCACACCCUUUCUUGAGCUGAUAAACAUGAGAAUAAGACGCAAUUCUGAAUUUCUGAGGAGGCCAACUUUGGAAAGCGUAUUCCUAGCCAGUGAACGGUGCCCUUCAUAGCCUACACAUUUCUCAUUUCUAUAAUAAAAAAUACAGCCAAGAACACAGUAAGAAAAAACGCAUGAAGAGACAAAUGAAAGAGGACAAAAGACUUAAAAAUAUCUUUUUAAAAAGAAGGAAAUAAAACUCUUAACUUUGUUUUUGGUGUAACACAUGCCACGCCACGAUAAACGAUUCUCCUCGUAGUAUCUCCACCGAUAAUUCUAUCAAAACGACAAAGAUUGGCCUCAUCACAGUUAUUAUAAUUAAUCAGAUGUCACAUAGACUAAAACGUAAGAUUACUAAAAAAUAUAUCAAUUAUUUUCACAAUAUUAGUCUUAUGUGUUUACAUCAUUACAUGUGUUAUGGCAUGUGGAUAAGAGAUUGUCGCAUAAUCACGUUUAGUGUUUUUUGUUCUUUGCUUGUGGUCGUCUGUCUUCCCCAGUCAGUCACCGCCUCACAAUGACAUGACUAUAUAAUUAUAAAACAGUACUAAAACUAAUAGCAUUAAAGACUAAACUAAAACUUUUAUAUCAAUAAGAGCAAGAUCAACCCAUAUACUCAGUAAGGUCAGUACCCCACGUGGGACACGCGAACUCUACAUCAGUAGGCAGAGUGGCACACACUCGUAAUUCAUAGCAACCUCCAAGGGCACUUCGAUAGCUUCAGCUCCUUAUAAGCAAUACCUCAACUCUCUUUGUUAAUUACUUUCUACACUUAUCUCUUUUUUUUUUGUAACUUAACUUUCUACACUUAUCUCUUCCCUCUCUACCCGGAGUUCCUUUACAAUGGGAGGUGUCACCGUCGUAUCUCUCGUCCUUCUUCUCAUUGCCACAGCCAAUUCCGCCGUUGUCCCCUUCCGUGACGGUAAGCUUCUUUAACACCUAUACUUGACACAACUAUAGCAUUUUAGAUUUACUACUAUAAAUAAAUAAAAAUGCAAUUUUUUUUUGAAGAAAAAAACUCGAAUUCUUUCUCUAUUCAUUACACAAUAGUACUGAAACGUAGUUAUUUGGUAAAUAAUUUUAAUACAUUCUACGUGAGCGGAUGGUAGAAUUACAAAUUUAACCCUGUUUCUGACACAAACACACCGCUGUAAAGUUCUUGGACCAUUUUCAAUCAAUGAAGUUGAGUUGGGCCCACCACGGAAGCUAAGCCAUGUUAUACACAGGCCCAGUUAGGCUGUCUCUCGGACACACCUCACGUGCCUAUAUCUUCCUUUUUUCUAAAUUAAUUAUUUUAAAUCGCUAAUACUCUAAAGGUCAAUAUGGUAAUUCACAGGGAUAUUACCGAACGGUGAUUUCGAGCUAGGACCAAAGCCAUCAGACAUGAAAGGAACCGAAGUAAUAAACAAGAUGGCAAUCCCGAACUGGGAAGUCACGGGCUUCGUCGAGUACAUAAGCUCAGGACACAAACAAGGAGACAUGCUUCUCGUUGUCCCCGCCGGAAAAUUCGCAGUCCGGCUCGGAAACGAAGCGUCGAUCAAACAGAGACUUAAAGUGGUGAAAGGAAUGUAUUACUCGCUCACGUUCAGCGCCGCAAGGACGUGCGCUCAAGAUGAGAGGCUCAACAUCUCCGUGGCACCUGACUCUGGCGUCAUUCCGGUGCAGACGGUGUACAGCAGCAGUGGGUGGGAUCUAUACGCUUGGGCGUUUCAGGCGGAGAGUGAGGUCGCUGAGAUAGUGAUUCAUAAUCCAGGUGAAGAAGAGGAUCCAGCUUGUGGUCCACUCAUUGAUGGUGUUGCCAUGAGAGCUCUUUACCCUCCCCGACCAACCAACAGUACGUAAUUACUCUGUUUUUUACAGUUCUUGAAUAUGGGUUGUAAUCAUGGUUCUAAAAGUUGAUAUAGGCACACAGAAAAAACAUUAUUUUCUAAAAUCCUAUUUAAAUUAGUGUAAAUAUUUUAAAUUAAACAAUUAUAUUAUUAUUAGUAUAAAUCUUCAAAUUUGUCUAUUUUUGUGAAUUUGGUUGUAAUCAUUACAACUUAUAUAUUUUUAUUUGAACAGAGAACAUUUUGAAAAACGGAGGAUUUGAAGAAGGUCCACUAGUACUACCAGGCUCGACCACAGGAGUUUUAAUCCCACCGUUCAUAGAAGACGACCACUCUCCUUUACCCGGUUGGAUGGUGGAGUCUCUCAAAGCCGUCAAGUACGUAGACACAGAACACUUCUCAAUCCCGCAAGGUCGCCGAGCCAUUGAGCUAGUGGCUGGCAAAGAGAGCGCCAUCGCUCAAGUUGCUAGGACCAUCAUCGGGAAGACUUACGUCCUUUCGUUUGCCGUUGGAGACGCCAACAACGCUUGCAAAGGAUCGAUGGUGGUUGAGGCUUUUGCGGGAAGAGACACGCUUAAGGUACCUUACGAGUCGCGUGGCACUGGAGGGUUUAAACGAGCUUCUAUCAGGUUCGUGGCGGUUUCGACCAGGACUAGAGUUAUGUUUUACAGUACUUUCUAUGCCAUGAGGAGCGAUGAUUUCUCCUCUUUGUGUGGGCCUGUGAUUGAUGACGUCAAGCUUUUAAGCGUUCGUAAGCGGUAGAUGAAUGGAAUCUUACUACAAGAAAUGAAACUGUGUGGGUUUUAC